rnacentral:rRNA from 1 species
UACAGAGGUGGCAAGCGUUGUUCGGAAUUACUGGGCGUAAAGGGCGCGUAGGCGGUUCGGUAAGUCCUGUGUGAAAUCCCUCGGCUCAACUGAGGAACUGCACGGGAGACUGCCGGGCUUGAGUUCGGGAGAGGGAAGCGGAAUUCCGGGUGUAGCGGUGAAAUGCGUAGAUAUCAGGAGGAACACCGGUGGCGAAGGCGGGUCUCUGGGCCGAUACUGACGCUGAGGAGCGAAAGCGUGGGGAGCGAACAGG